GCCCUCUCUGCAGAUAUUUGGAAGAAUUACAGCACACUUUAGCACAUUUAGAAAUGUUCCCUUCCCUGCCCACACUUUUUAAAGACACAAUUGCAUAGUGACUGCCUGUAGGAAUUUUAAAAUACAUUCUUUGAAUGAGGAGAAAUGCAGACAUGUUGUCAACACUGGUCAUUUUCGUUCUGGACCUUAUGCUUGCUUCAGCUGCUGUGAUUACCCUGUAUGUUGUUUACUUAAUAGCAGCCACAACUAUUUUUAUCUCAGUUAUUUUCUAUGUUUACAAAGAAAAGAUGGAAAAACACUGUGAUUUUAACAAUGGUAGAUCUCUAGCAAUGCCGAAUCCUAGCAGUGCUGCUGAAGAGACAGUUGCUGGCCACAUGGAGAAGGUCAGCUCCAGGAUGCUUCCUGUCUAUUUUCCAGCUCUGCAAGAAAGGGCCCUUCUGUCCAAGGAAAGUGAUGUUCUCUUCUACGACCCAAGGAGCUUUGCACAGUGGAAGAGCCAUGGGGGGAAGAAUUGGCAGAUCCCAUCCACAACCAACGGAGAGUUCUUUUUUCAGCAGGCAAGCCAGGCCCCAAAAAGGAGAAAAUUGGAGGCCAUUUGUUGAGCUCGUCAAAUGAAAUCAAUCUGCCACCCCACCCUGAUCUGAGACAACAACUCUCACCCAGACAUUUGAAAUCACCUAACUUCUUUCCAGUGUUGCUGCUCUACACAUCUAAUUGCCACACAUCAGCCAAAACAAUCCCUAUAAAUACUAAGAAAAAUGUCUACCAGUCCUCUGCUCACCUCUGUCCAGUGACCUCUAACCUCAGAGGAGAAGCCAGGGAUCUUCAAGACCUUGAUCUUCAAGACUCUACAUGAAAAGGCCUUCUCCUGCCUCACCUUCCCACACUACCCCACUGUGUACCCCGAGUUUCAGCCACAGCACCUUCUUCCUGUUCUACUGACCUGACAGUUGGGCACAAAUCCCUCAGGAUCUUGUGCUUCUUCUUUAUACAUGACCCAGUGUCUACUUUGUCAAUUCUUCUUAAAGGUCACUUCUUUGAGGAGGAAUACUCUGGUCAGCCUAUAUGAAUGAAUAUAUCCAUCCUGUACUCAAUGUAACUCUUACCAUGGUUUUCUUUCAUAGCAUUUACUCAUACCUGAAAUAUUAUAUGCACAUUGUUUUCUUUUCUCCCCUAGUAGAAUAUGAAUUCCAUGAGAAUAGCGACUUUGUUUCUUUUAUUCCCUGCUGUAGCUCCAGUGUUUAGAACAGGUUCCAGUUGAUGAUAAAUGAUGAUUUGUUUAAUGCAUGAGUCAAUGAAUAGGUAGGUAUCUUUUUGCCUGCGAGAUGGUGUUUAAGAUUUCAGUUAUUCAAACCUCGCUGAAUGAAUUGCUUGGUGCCAAUGAAAGUUAAAGGAUAAAUAAAUGAAGACAAAUACGUAGGUCUUAUUAGUGUGAAUCGCCAGCUUGGUCUGCUGUCUUGGCUCUAUGCCAUAGUUGGAUAUCUUCUAAAUGUCAUUUGAACAAAGAUGAGACUAAUGAAAGCUAGAACACAGAUUCAUUACUUUAUUGGACUUAUCUUUUGGUAUUAUCAAGUGAAUAAAGAUAAUUUCAAAAAUAAUUUAAGUGAAAAAUGUUCACAGUUUAAC
ensembl:lincRNA